rfam:Coronavirus AcCoV-JC34, complete genome.
UCUGUUCCUGAAAUUUGUAAUCAGCUUAGUUGAGAGAAUCCUAUUGUAGCUUGCUACUAUAGGACACUAGUGUACAGAAUCAUUGCCACGUCUAUAGUAGGGUACACAUAACUAUCUAUAGAUAUAGAAAACCUAGAUGAACCGGAUGAAUAACUUGCCAUGACACGGGAGUUUUCAAAGAUCGCUUGACGAGCCAUCAAUUCCCUGAGAACUGAUGGAAGAGCUCGUGCCAUGUCACUUUUGCAAUCCGUAGUAGUUAUGUUAAUCUAAAUAGGGGAUCUUUGAGGGUGGGAUGC